rnacentral:rRNA from 1 species
GAUCCUGGCUCAGAUUGAACGCCUGCGCAGGCUUAACACAUGCAAGUCGAGCGGGGAAGUGUAGCUUUGCUACAUUACCUAGCGGCGGACGGGUGAGUAAUGCUUAGGAAUCUGCCUAUUAGUGGGGGACAACAUUCCGAAAGGAAUGCUAAUACCGCAUACGUCCUACGGGAGAAAGCAGGGGAUCUUCGGACCUUGCGCUAAUAGAUGAGCCUAAGUCGGAUUAGCUAGUUGGUGGGGUAAAGGCCUACCAAGGCGACGAUCUGUAGCGGGUCUGAGAGGAUGAUCCGCCACACUGGGACUGAGACACGGCCCAGACUCCUACGGGAGGCAGCAGUGGGGAAUAUUGGACAAUGGGGGGAACCCUGAUCCAGCCAUGCCGCGUGUGUUGGAAAAGG